rnacentral:rRNA from 1 species
AGAGCGUAGGGUGAAUGCCUUGGCAUCAAGAGCCGAAGAAGGACGUGGUAAGCUGCGAAAAGCCAUGGGGAACUGCAAACAAGUAUUGAUCCAUGGAUAUCCGAAUGGGGAAACCCGGCAGAAGAAGCUCUGUCAUCAUACAGCCAAUACAUAACUGUAUGAAGGGAACCCGGUGAACUGAAACAUCUUAGUAACCGGAGGAAAAGAAAGUAAUUACGAUUCUCUAAGUAGCGGCGAGCGAACGGGGAAGAGCCCAAACCAGAUGUCUACGGAGAUCUGGGGUUGAGGACAGACAUCGCGUGCAGCGAAAGUGAGUGGAAGAUGGUUGGAAAGCCACACCAAAGAGGGUAAUAGUCCCGUAUACGAAGCGAGUAGGCUGUGCAGUCUGUAUCCAGAGUACCACAAGGCACGUGAAACCUUGUGGGAAGCAGGGGGGACCACCCUCCAAGGCUAAAUACUACUUGAUGACCGAUAGAGGAACAGUACCGUGAGGGAAAGGUGAAAAGUACCCCGGGAGGGGAGUGAAAGAGAACCUGAAACCCUGCGUUUACAAACGAACUGAGUACUAUUAGAGAGUACGAAGUUGUACUUAUUGAAGAACGGGCCAGCGAGUUACGUUUAUGCAGCGAGGUUAAGGUGUUAAGCACUGGAGCCGCAGGGAAACCGAGUCUGAAUAGGGCUAAAGUUGCAUGAAGUAAACCCGAAACCGGGUGACCUAUCCAUGAGCAGGCUGAAGCGGUGGUAAGACAUCGUGGAGGGCCGAACCUGUGUGCGUUGAAAAGUAUAGGGAUGACUUGUGGAUAGCGGAGAAAUUCCAAUCGAACUCGGAAAUAGCUGGUUCUCCUCGAAAUAGCUUUAGGGCUAGCCUCACUAAAGAAAUGUACGCAGGUAGAGCACUGAAUUGGCUAGGGGGCCACAAAGCUUACCGAACCUUAUCAAACUUCGAAUGGCGUACAUGAAUGAGUGGGAGUCAGACAGUGGGAGCUAAGUUUCAUUGUCAAAAGGGAAACAGCCCAGAUCAUCAGCUAAGGUCCCAAAGUAUAGGUUAAGUGGCAAAGGAUGUGAGGAUGCUAAGACAACCAGGAUGUUGGCUUAGAAGCAGCCACUCAUUUAAAGAGUGCGUAAUAGCUCACUGGUCGAGUGAUCUUGCGCCGAAAAUGUCCGGGGCUAAACCUAUCACCGAAGCUAUGGAUUUACAUCGGAUGAUGUAAGUGGUAGAGGAGCAUCGUAUGCGGGCUGAAGUCGUACCGUAAGGAGCGAUGGACUGCAUAGGAGAGAGAAUGCUGGCAUGAGUAACGAGAGGGUGGUGAGAAUCCACCCCAUCGAAAGCCUAAGGUUUCCUGGGGAAGGUUCGUCCGCCCAGGGUAAGUCGGGGCCUAAGCUGAGGACUAGAUGGUCGUAGGCGAUGGACAACAGGUUGAUAUUCCUGUACUACCCGAAGCGUCUGAGAGAAGCAGUGACACAGAAGGAUAGGUCAAGCGGGUUGAUGGUAGAACCCGUCCAAGCAUUGAGGCUGUGUGGAUAGUAAAGUACGUCCGCAUAAAGCUGGGGUGUGAUGGGGACAGAACAUAAGUAUGGAAGUGACUGAAUUCACGCUGGCGAGAAAAGCUGCUAUCGAGCAGAAGGGUACCCGUACCGCAAACCGACACAGGUAGGCGAGGAGAGAAUCCUAAGAUGAGCGAGAUAACCCUUGUUAAGGAACUCGGCAAAAUGACUCCGUAACUUCGGGAGAAGGAGUGCCACGAAAGUGGUUGCAGUGAAUAGGCCCAUGCAACUGUUUAUCAAAAACACAGGUCUGUGCAAAAUCGAGAGAUGAUGUAUACGGGCUGACGCCUGCCCAGUGCUGGAAGGUUAAGGGGAACUGUUAGCGCAAGCGAAGCAGUGAACCGAAGCCCCAGUGAACGGCGGCCGUAACUAUAACGGUCCUAAGGUAGCGAAAUUCCUUGUCGGGUAAGUUCCGACCCGCACGAAAGGCGUAAUGAUAUGGGCGCUGUCUCAACAAGGGACUCGGUGAAAUUGUAGGGCUGGUAAAGAUGCCAGCGACCCGCGACUAGACGGAAAGACCCCGUAGAGCUUUACUGUAGCUUGGUAUUGAGUUUUGACAUUGGAUGUACAGGAUAGGUGGGAGACUGAGAGAUGAUGGCGUCAGCUGUCAAGGAGUCGCCGGUGGGAUACCACUCUUCCGAUGUUGGAAUUCUAACAACGACCCGUGAACCGGGCGUUGGACAGUGCCAGGUGGGCAGUUUGACUGGGGCGGUCGCCUCCGAAAGAGUAACGGAGGUGCCCAAAGGUCUCCUCAGCAUGGUUGGAAAUCAUGUGUUAGAGUGUAAAGGCAUAAGGAGGCCUGACUGCGAGACUGACAAGUCGAGCAGAGACGAAAGUCGGGCUUAGUGAUCCGGUGGUUUCGAGUGGAAGAGCCAUCGCUAAACGGAUAAAAGUUACCUCGGGGAUAACAGGCU